rnacentral:rRNA from 2 species
ACGUAGGGGGCUAGCGUUGUCCGGAAUCACUGGGCGUAAAGGGUUCGCAGGCGGAAAUGCAAGUCAGGUGUAAAAGGCAGUAGCUUAACUACUGUAAGCAUUUGAAACUGCAUAUCUUGAGAAGAGUAGAGGUAAGUGGAAUUUUUAGUGUAGCGGUGAAAUGCGUAGAUAUUAAAAAGAAUACCGGUGGCGAAGGCGACUUACUGGGCUCAUUCUGACGCUGAGGAACGAAAGCGUGGGUAGCAAACAG